UUAAGUCAACUUAAUUUCAGGCACAUACAGCUUAACUUAAUUAAUUAGUCGUUGGGCAUAGCUUGUACUUUCCUGGUAGAAGUAAAACUCUUUUUAACCCUAUUUCUGUUACUGCUCUAUUCUCCACCUCUCUCAUACACACCUUUCUGUGGAAAUCAGGAGAAGAAUUAGUGAUGGAAAUUGACAAUGCAGAGCAGGAGGAGUUGGAGAAAGUAGUUUCUUUUACACCAAUAACACCUGGCAAGUGCGUGCCAGCAAGGACAGAAUUUAGCAAUGUUUUGUUGGCAAGUUGUUCAGGUAAGUUAAUAGAGAUGGAACUAGGCAAUGCCAUGCAGGAAAAGUUGCAGAAAGCACUUUCUUGGGCGCCAAUAACACCCGACAAGUGCCCAGCAAGAACAAAAUUUAACUCUAUUGAUGCUGGCUUGAAAAAAUUUCUGUCCAUAAGUAGUUCAGCUAACAGCCAAAAAAAGGAUGAGGAGGUUUCUGCUGUGGUCGGAAGGAAGAGUGAAUUUCUUAGUCGAAAUUUAGAUGGUGAUUCUAAAUCUGCAUGGCUGGCUCCUUCAACUCCUAUCAAGAAGGGUAACCCCAGGGAGAAACAAAGUGGUAGCUUAGACUUGAAUGACAGACCACAUAAGAAACCAAGAAUGAGAAAACACACACCAAAAAUCUUUGAUGAAAGUAAGCCCAAAAAGACUCCAAAGCCUAAGGUAAAGCCUUCGCCUCCAAAACCAGGUAACUCCAAGGCAAGUGCCAGGACAAAGAAGAAACUAGAAAAGGCCUGCGAGAAAGUUUCAGAUGACUUAUCCGGACUUGCUGAUAUGCAAGCACCUAAUAGUAAGAUUCCAGGAACUAUUCCCGAAUCUCUAGUCCUACAGGUUUCAACACCUCAACCAGAAACUCUGGAGCAUGCUAUCCCAGCAACAAGUCCACCGGAGCUUGAGCAUGAUAUUCUUACAAAUCUUGGACAUGAUUUGAAGUCAUGUAGACGAGGUAUAGAUUUCAACUUGGAAAAUGAGAAUGAUGUCAUUUCCGUGGGAGCUACAGAAGUGAUCAGGGAUCAUGUAACACAUAGUUACAACAAAUUCUUGACAAAUCCAUUGGAUGGUGUUAAUGAGCAGGCAGUUGAUACAAAUAUCUCCAUUGGCUUAGAAGAUAAUUUAGAGGCAGAAUCAACUUUCCAGCCCAACCAAGCAGAAAAUGGAGCUAGUAUCUACCAGGAUGACCAGAGUGCCUGUCAGCAUCAUUUUCUGAAAGUUUAUAAAAGAAGGAACAAAACUAAAACAGAGUUGAUGCCUUUGGCAGGAAAUGAAGCUGAUAUCUACCCAAACGAUCGUGAAACAACCGGCCAAACUGGUUGUCGGGAUCGUUUUUUGAAAGUUUAUAAAAGGAGGACAAAAGGAAACAUUGGUGUCGUGUCUUUGGCAGGAAUUGAAGCUGAUGUUUGUUCGAGGAAUAAUAGAAAGCUUAAACCGGAAGCUACAGUAAUAUGCAAGAAAAGGAGGACAAAAAGAAGAAAAGCACUUGUGUUUUUAAAGUUUUUGAAUGUUGAUGCAGAUAAAGGCUGGAGAACAUUGAAAACUCAUAUGAAUUUCAAAGUGACUUCCAGUGCAAAUAAGAUGGGCAGAAGAAGAGGUGUAAAGAGAGCUACAGAGAAACGUAUUAAAAUUGGCAAGAGAGAUAAUUGGUUUACAAUUUCCAAGAGGGUUACAAGGAGAAAUUUUGGAAUUGCCAAUGGUGCUAAAAAGACAUGUUUUUCAACUAUGAAUUCAGGGCAGAAAGGAAAAUUAAAAUCACUUUUUGUUGGAGAAGUUCUACCUAAUAAAAAUCAAAUUACAGUUGCAAUGGCUAAUCCAGAAUUUUUUGAAUGUGUGUUUAGUUUGUCGCCUAUAGUGAAGUCUCGGAGGAAGAGAUCUAUCCGUCCUAAGAGGACCAAGUCUGCUUGCAGGGAAGAAAACACAGAUCUAGAACCUUUAAGUCUUGCCUUGACUUUGUCUCCACUAGUCACGUCCAAAAGAAAAAGAUCCAAGAAUAGCAAGAGAUCAACUGCUAUUCUAGAUUCCCUCUGCCUUAAGUCAGAAAUAAGUGCAAUCAAUGAGAUUGAAUCUUUUAUAGAUAAGUUAGCUUGCAAUGAAAUUCUGGAGUGCUCGCAACAUGAAGAUGUGUGUUCUCAAACGGAUAAAUCAGCUUCCAAUAAAAUUCAAGAAUGCCCACAACAACAAGAUCCAUGGCCUAGAACAGAGAGUUCACCAGACUUGGAAUCCUUGGUUGCAUCACUUAUUCAGAGGUUAGAAAAUAUAAGAAUUUGUGAUAAGAAAACCUAUAAGAGGAAAACAGCAACCAGUAAGAAAAGAACCAGUAAAAAUGUUGGCCGGCUUGUCCCAUGGAAUCCUUUUGGUCCAAUAAAUAUUUACAAGGGAAAGGACAAACCUUCGACACAAAAACUGCCCAGGGUUGAUCUUGAUACAGAGUCACUGCGAGUGUGGAAGCUACUCAUAGAAAACGAAGGUGAAAUUGAUGAAGACCUGGAUAAAGAGAAGGAAAUAUGGUGGGAGGAGCAAAGAAAAAUAUUUCAAGGAAGGGCUGCCUCAUUCAUUGCCCGCAUGCGUCUUGUCUUAGGUGAUAGGCGUUUUUCCGAAUGGAAAGGGUCAGUGGUAGACUCUGUGGUUGGUGUUUACCUAACACAAAAUGUAUCAGAUAAUCUUUCAAGCAAUGCCUUCAUGCUUCUUGCUUCAGCAUUCCCACCUCAAAAUAAACAAGAAAUGACUAUUCCGCAAGGACAAGCUUUAAUGAUUACAGAGGGAAUGCCAGAUUCAUUUGAAAGGGAAGUGUCUGCCGAUGAGAAAGAUCCUGAGUUGGCUGGUUUUUCUUGUAGUCAAAUGUCCACAUGUAGAUCAAGCAUAGAUGAGUUAUCUUCUGUAAAUGAUAGAAACACGUCAGAAUGUUUGCCUACAUCUUAUACCCACUUACAUCACGUUGGGGACUGCAAAACUGAGAGAUUGCAUGAAACUCAAGUGGAAGAAAAUCUUAGAGCUGAGAGUACUUGUGGAAGUCAGGCUACGGUCACUUCUUGUAGCUCAGAAGUGAUAAACUCUGCUAAGAGUGACGAUUUAGGAAAUGAAGCAGUCCAUUUGCCCGAGAAUAUAUCGAGAGAGAAAGAUGAACUCCCAAAAAAAGAAAUUGAUUGGGACGAGCUGAGGAAAACCUAUUCUACUGGUAGAUCUAGUGGUCUUACCGAAAGAAAUCGGGAUUCUGUUGACUGGGAAGCCAUUAGACAUGCAGAUGUUGAAAAGAUUGUUGAGCCAAUCAAAUCUCGAGGACAGGGUAAUGUUCUUGCUGCAAAAAUUAAGAAUUUUCUUAAUCGAUUGGUUGAAGAUCAUGGAAGCAUUGACCUCGAGUGGUUAAGAGAUGUCCCCACAGACAAAGCGAAAGAAUACUUGUUGAGUAUCGUUGGGCUUGGGCCGAAGAGCGUGGAUUGCCUUCGACUUUUGACACUUCGGCAUUGUGCCUUUCCUGUUGACAUAAAUGUUGCUCGGGUAUCAGUACGUCUAGGAUGGGUUCCUUUGCAACCAUUACCUGAUGGGAUCCUGAUGCAUCUUCUGGAGAAGUACCCCCUAGAGAGUUCCAUACAAAAGUACCUUUGGCCACGUCUAUGCAACCUUGAUCUGCUAACACUAUAUGAAUUGCAUUAUCACAUGAUCACAUUUGGAAAGGUUUUCUGUACAAAGAAAAAUCCAAAUUGUAAUGCGUGCCCACUGAGAGCCGAAUGCAGGCACUUUGCUAGUGCAUUUGCAAGUGCUAGGCUUUGCCUUCCAGGACCACAGCAGAAAGGAGUGGUCGCCGUUAAGCAGCCUGUUAGAGUUGAUGAAGUCCCAAACAUGUGUGUGCCGUCACCAAAUUUGUCCCUUUCUGGCGAAAGCUUCUUGGAGUCCAGGUUCCAGACUCAAGAAUGUGAGCCUAUCAUAGAAAUGCCAGAAUCUCCAGAGCACAGACCUAUAGAAUCACUGGAACGAGACAUUGAAGACUUUCCUUGUGGGGUGGAGCAUGAGCAGGAGAUACCUACUAUCCAACUUAACACUAACCAUUUUCGAGAAAAUAUCUUGAACUUGAUCAACAAGUCCAACGCUAAAGAGUUUCAAGAAAAUGUGUUGAACUUUGUUAAUGAGAUCAGUACAUUGCAUAGAGAUGAAGAAGUAUCAAAAGCCUUGGUUCUUUUGGAUCCAGAAUCUGCUUCACGUCAUGCUCGUAAACUGAAAAGUGAGAGUCGAACUAGGACUGAGCACACAGUGUAUGAGCUUCCAGAUUAUCAUCCUCUUUUGAGUGGGUUUGAGAAACGGGAGCCUGAUGACCCGUGCCCUUACCUUCUUGCCAUCUGCCAAACAGAGGAAGAAAUAAAAAAUCAGAAAAAAUUUGGAAGAGAUUCUAGCUCCAAGGAAUUAGAACUUUAUGGUGCAAAGAUAUGCUCGGGCAGUACAAGUUACUCCCAAAAUGAUCAGAUAGUUUAUGGAACUAUUUUGAUACCAUGUCGGACGGCAAACAGGGGAAGUUUUCCACUUAAUGGGACAUAUUUUCAAGUUAACGAGGUUUUUGCUGAUCAUGAGUCGAGCGAAUGCCCAAUUCGUGUUCCGCGGGUGUCAAUAUGGCAUUUGAGACGAAAGACUUUAUAUUGUGGAACUACAGUUCACGCCAUUGCUAAAGGCAUGUCAACGGAGGACAUUCAGUAUUGCUUUUGGAGAGGGUAUACAUGUGUGAGAGGAUAUGACAGAAAGCGGAGGGCACCCAGACCCCUCCCUCGUCUAUUCCAUUCAGGAUAUAAAAGUAAAAUAGGGAAUUCUGAUGAUCAGCAUUUAGAGGUUCAUGAACGAGAGCUACCGUGUCAAGUUGAAAGGACAUAACUUAUGCUAGAUCCUGGGAAACCAAGAAAUUUAUUCUCUGUGAAAUGAAGGAAAAUAUCUGUUCUCAUUUUGGAUGCACUCAAAUGGUGUAUGACUUGAAAAAAAUAUCAACAAAAAAGAUGGUGUUUGCCUUUGUUUAGUAGGAGUCGAACUUGCUGCAGUCAGCUCAAUGUCAUACACAAACUAUGAUUAACAUUACCCAUCCUGAAUGUGAAUUACUAUACCAUCAUCAUGUCAAGAGUAUAGUUGGAUGCUUUCCAUAUUAGUAUCGGAAGUUCAGAGAAUUCUUUCUGCUCCCACCAUUGUCUCUGUAUAGUUAGCAUGUUUCUGAUUGUUUUGUAACAUAGAGAGCCUAAGAACAAGUGGAAUUUCUUUUUUUAAUGUAACUUGUAUUCUAAACUCUUGAAGGAUGUUAUACUCAACUUUUGCGACUGCUGAGAGGAUUUGAAUUAGAAUACCAUUUUCAUUAUCCCUCUGCAAAA